AUGGUGGCAUCGUCAAGAGCUGCACAUGAUUAACGCAUAAAAACAGAAAUAAAUUUAAAAACCUGCUCUAAUCCCUGGUGAUAGAGACUGAAUA
rfam:Acetobacterium wieringae strain DSM 1911 ACWI_contig000014, whole genome shotgun sequence.